CUAGAUAGCUCAGGUGGUAGAGCAACGGAUUGAAAAUCCGUGUGUCGGUGGUUCGAUUCCGCCUCUAGC
rnacentral:tRNA from 1 species